rnacentral:rRNA from 1 species
CCCUACGGGAGGCAGCAGUGGGGAAUUUUGGACAAUGGGCGCAAGCCUGAUCCAGCAUGCCGCGUGCAGGAUGAAGGCCUUCGGGUUGUAAACUGCUUUUGUACGGAACGAAACGGUCCUUUUUAAUAAAGAGGGCUAAUGACGGUACCGUAAGAAUAAGCACCGGCUAACUACGUGCCAGCAGGCGCGGUAAUUA